UACGAAGGGGGCUAGCGUUGCUCGGAAUCACUGGGCGUAAAGCGCACGUAGGCGGCUUUCUAAGUCAGGGGUGAAAAUCCUGGAGCUCAACUCCAGAACUGCCUUUGAUACUGGAGAGCUUGAGUCCGGAAGAGGUGAGUGGAACUCCGAGUGUAGAGGUGAAAUUCGUAGAUAUUCGGAAGAACACCAGUGGCGAAGGCGGCUCACUGGUCCGGUACUGACGCUGAGGUGCGAAAGCGUGGGGAGCAAACAGG
rnacentral:rRNA from 1 species